AUGCUUGCUUUGGCAGUACAUAUCCUAAAACUGGAACAAAACAAAGAAGAUUAGCAUGGUCCCUGUGCAAGGAUGACAAGAAAAUUCGUGAAGCGCUCCAUAUUUUU
ensembl:snRNA U6 U6 spliceosomal RNA